UUUCUUAAACUUAACUUUGUCCUCUGUUCUACCAAUACCUUAAACAGGUGUAAAAGACACCAGAUAUUUCCAUACCACAAAUCCUGGCCAGGAGCAAUCUUUUACAUUGUAUGAAAAUCUAAAGAUUUAAGAGCUACACUAAAUUAGCCGAAGAAGCAUUCUCAACUCAGAGAUCAGCAGUCAAUGACGGAUGUGAAGCUUCUUCAGAUGCCUAAGACAGGAGCUUGCAUAUAAGAAUACCUGUUCCAAAGACGGGAAAAUUUGGCAACCUGCCUUCUUAUCCUCCUCAUGGAGCAGAUGCCUGAGGUCUCCAGGAUAACAGAUAACCAAAUGCUUCUUCAUCCAUACCUCCAAACUAAGCGUGGGCCCACCGACUCCCAGCUCUCCCGUCCCCACGUCAUCCCAUGCCUGCAGGAAGUAGCCAGACUUGAACCUACAUCCAUAUAGCCAAGGAGUCUGGGAUGUUUAGAUGGAAACACCAUCUGGUCUCACUCUUCCCUUUCCAGACCUGAGAAAACCCACCCACCAAGAUCCUACUCCCUCGAGAUCCUCAAGACUAGGAUGUAGCCCCCCUCACCUGCCACGAGAUUUCUGU